rnacentral:rRNA from 1 species
GACGAACGCUGGCGGCGUGCUUAACACAUGCAAGUCGAACGGAAAGGCCCUGCUUUUGUGGGGUGCUCGAGUGGCGAACGGGUGAGUAACACGUGAGUAACCUGCCCUUGACUUUGGGAUAACUUCAGGAAACUGGGGCUAAUACCGGAUAGGCGCUCCUGCUGCAUGGUGGGGGUUGGAAAGUUUCGGCGGUUGGGGAUGGACUCGCGGCUUAUCAGCUUGUUGGUGGGGUAGUGGCUUACCAAGGCUUUGACGGUUAGCCGGCCUGAGAGGGUGACCGGCCACAUUGGGACUGAGAUACGGCCCAGACUCCUACGGGAGGCAGCAGUGGGGAAUAUUGCACAAUGGGCGGAAGCCUGAUGCAGCAACGCCGCGUGCGGGAUGACGGCCUUCGGGUUGUAAACCGCUUUCGCCUGUGACGAAGCGUGAGUGACGGUAAUGGGUAAAGAAGCACCGGCUAACUACGUG